CCGGGGUCGGUGCGAGAUCCCGCGGCAGGGACGGGGGACCCAGUGUUCGUGGCCCGGGCUUCUGGUCCGGGUCUUGGGGUGAAGCGCGUGGCCGGCCGGUGGCCGGGGCGUGCCGGGCGUUCUCCCGCCCGAACCCGACAGCUCACCUCGUAGGCAGCCAGGAGAGGCCUU
rfam:Georgenia sp. STBG003 Ion020_assembly_c592, whole genome shotgun sequence.